UUGUCGUCAGCUCGUGUCGUGAGAUGUGGUUAAGUCCCGCAACGAGCGCAACCCUCGACCUUAGUUGCCAGCAUUCAGUUGGGCACUCUAAGGUGACUGCCGGCUAAAAGUCGGAGGAAGGUGGGGAUGACGUCAAAUCAUCAUGCCCCUUAUGACCUGGGCUACACACGUGCUACAAUGGUUGGUACAACGAGUUGCGAGUCGGUGACGGCGAGCUAAUCUCUUAAAGCCAAUCUCAGUUCGGAUUGUAGGCUGCAACUCGCCUACAUGAAGUCGGAAUCGCUAGUAAUCGCGGAUCAGCACGCCGCGGUGAAUACGUUCCCGGGCCUU
rnacentral:rRNA from 1 species